rnacentral:misc_RNA from 1 species
GAUUAAGGUGAUAGCAGCAACAAACAGAGCUGAUAUUUUGGAUCCUGCUUUGAUGCGAUCUGGUCGUUUGGAUCGUAAAAUCGAAUUCCCCCACCCCACAGAGGAAGCCAGGGCUCGGAUCCUGCAGAUCCAUUCCAGAAAGAUGAAUGUCAACCCAGAUGUUAACUUUGAAGAAUUGGCUCGGUCGACAGAUGAUUUUAAUGGGGCACAGUUGAAAGCUGUAUGUGUUGAGGCAGGCAUGCUAGCACUCCGUCGCGAUGCCACUGAGGUAACUCAUGAAGACUUCAAUGAAGGUAUCAUUCAAGUUCAAGCCAAGAAGAAAGCCAGCUUAAACUACUAUGCCUAAACUUUCUGCAGGCCCCAUGGCAAGCAGCUUUUAGCUUUUCGAAGUUGAAGAUGGCUACUGCCUGCCACACCCCCGAACUCCUUUUAGUAUCCCUCUUCUUUCUUUCUGUGCGGGUAGGGGGUGGGGAUAGAAGCUUUGCACAUUAGCGUCUGUUCUGUGGAUUACUGAUAUCAAAGGAGGUGUCUGGUAGUAUGUGGAUCUCUUCUUGAAUUUGUUCAGCUGUAUACUUUCCUGCUGUAUGACUUAAUGACCUAGAAUAGCCUUGUGCUAUAUUGGCAAUCGAAACUUUAUCGUUAAUUUUGGACAAUAGCUACCCAAAAUAAGAUCCGGUCGUAUAUGUACUUGUG